rnacentral:rRNA from 1 species
AUUGAACGCUGGCGGCAGGCUUAACACAUGCAAGUCGAGCGGAGAUGAGGUGCUUGCACCUUAUCUUAGCGGCGGACGGGUGAGUAAUGCUUAGGAAUCUGCCUAUUAGUGGGGGACAACAUUCCGAAAGGAAUGCUAAUACCGCAUACGUCCUACGGGAGAAAGCAGGGGAUCUUCGGACCUUGCGCUAAUAGAUGAGCCUAAGUCGGAUUAGCUAGUUGGUGGGGUAAAGGCCUACCGAGGCGACGAUCUGUAGCGGGUCUGAGAGGAUGAACCGCCACACUGGGACCGAGACACGGCCCAGACUCCUACGGGAGGCAGCAGUGGGGAAUAUUGGACAAGGGGGGGAACCCUGAUCCAGCCAUGCCGCGUGUGUGAAGGAGGCCUUAUGGUUGUAAAGCACUUUAAGCGAGGAGGAGGCUACUGAGACUAAUACUCUUGGAUAGUGGACGUUACUCGCAGAAUAAGCACCGGCUAACUCUGUGCCAGCCGCCGCCGUAA